rnacentral:rRNA from 1 species
UGGGGAAUAUUGGACAAUGGGGGAAACCCUGAUCCAGCGAUGCCGCGUGAAUGAAGAAGGCCUUAGGGUUGUAAAGUUCUUUCACCUGUGACGAUGAUGACGGUAACAGGAUAAGAAGCCCCGGCUAACUCCGUCCCAGCAGCCGCGGUAAUACGGAGGGGGCUAGCGUUGUUCGUAAUGACUGGGCGUAAAGGGCGCGUAGGCGGCUUAUCAAGUCAGGUGUGAAAGCCUUGGGCUUAACCCAAGAAUUGCGCUUGAUACUGAUAAGCUAGAGGAUGAUAGAGGAAAGCGGAAUAACUAGUGUAGAGGUGAAAAUCGUAGAUAUUAGGAAGAACACCAGAGGCGGAGAAGGCUUUCUGGAUCAUAUCUGACGCUGAGGAGCAAAAGAGUGGGGGGCAAACA